UUGGAUUACUGUGCACUUCUGGAUCACAGACUGUAAGUAUUCAUGUUUAUUAUUUGCCUUUUACUGUACAUUACGUAACCGGUAACCGGAGAUUAACAUAAUGUGCGUGUAGAGCUAAGCUUGCAAGCUAAUUGUUUUGUGUUGUAAUACUGUAUUUCAUAAACAACGUACCAUAUUUACACACGUGUAUGUUGAAUUAUGCAUGCUUUCGUUUUUUUUAUCGAUGUUGGUUUAGACAUGUUUACAAACUUGCUAAGAUAAAUACAAAUACAAAUGCCAGCUAAACUGUUACCGGUAAAAUUUGUUCUCAUGAUCAAACUCAAGAAACUCUAAGUACAGAUGAUUUGUUUAAAGUUAUAUGUAUUUUACUGUUGUAUUUACUUGAAGCUUUCUUAGAUUUUGAAACGAAGUAAACACGUAAUGUGUGUUGCUAAUGUUGGGCCAUGUAAUAUGUAAUACAUUAACGUUUUAAUGAAUAGUCUAACGAUUUAUAGUCGUUGUACUCUAUUGUUAUAAUAUUUCUUUUUGACUGAAUACAUGUUUGUUUUAUUUGUCUAUAUCCUAGAUUCGCAGCUGUACACAUCCUUCUACACUGUAUGCAAACAUGCAACAUCAUUACACACAGUACAAGGAGUCAGACUGGCAUAUGAGGAGCAAAGGAACCCAGGCAGUAGCAUCGUUUCACAAUGUUUCCAUCACCAUCAUCAGUGGAUGCCUUUGCCGUCCGUAGCCUGAGAUUUCAGAUUUGCAGCAAAAAAAAUUGAUUUUCUCAUUUAUUGGAAUGCUGUGCAGGUAUUUGUACCUUGCAGCCAUCCAUUACAAUGUCACCAAGCCGUAACAAAAGCAGGAGAGGGAAAGUACAAGGCUAUGUUCCCAAAACACACAAGUGACAUACCGUAAGCAGUAAUGUUUUAUUUCAAAUACAUUCAUAAUUAAAAACUUAAUGUAUGAAGCAGGGAAAUAAAUGAUCAAAACAAAAGAUUUAUUGACUGCAAUAUUUCUACAGUUAUGUGGAUGAUGUGAUCAGGCUUGUGUUUGAUGAGGUAUUUGAAGAUAAGCUGAAGGAAACCCCGAUUCCAAUGGACCUGGCAUCACAAUUUGAGAGACCUUCAAAGGAGGACGUGAUUGCAUGCCAUCUUCAGUGCAGGGGUCGUCGAAAGCCAAAAUUGUGACCGAUCUGAUCAGGAAGCUCCAAGCGUAUCUGGAGAACAACAGACGACAGGAUGAUAACCUUAUAGUGUCGUCUUAAAUAGCACCAGCUGACAAAGCUUUGCUGUGCUAUUUAUCUGAAUAGAUAGCUGUAAGAAAUGAAUUGAACAAUUUUUGAA